AUCAUUUCCAGGAGGAGAACAAAGCACGGAAAGUUGCCGGGGAGAGUGGCCGGGAGAAGAAACCCGGGGACCGAGUGGGAGGUGGGGGUGGGCAUUGGGCAGCUCCCGGCCCCCGAGCCCGCCUGCGGCGCGCUCGGCCAGCAGGGGGAGAGGGAUGGUGGGAAGCAGUUGCCCUCUCGGCCUGAGCUGGUGCUGGAGACAGGAGGUGGGGGGAGGCGGGUGAGGGUGGGGAAGUCAUCCGAGCUCCCACCCCGAGCCAGAAGGGGUUGGACCACCCCGAGGGGCGCAAUGACAGGUUUUGGCUUCCUCGAUAUAAUCCUGAAACUCGUCGCCACCAGCCCUAGCAGCAGCAGCAGCAGCAGCAGCAGCAGCAGCAGCGGGACGGAGCAGAAGCAAAACAAACCCAGGCACAGCAAAUGGUGUAAUUCGAUCCAUCUCCAGUCAAUCCGUCAGGCGAGCCGGGAGCCGGGUGCCCUCCCAGUACUCAGCGGCUCGCGGCGCCGGUCCCACCCCCGGGCGCGGACGGCAGGAGGCGCGGGCAGCCGGGCGCGAGCGCCCUAGCCCGUGCGUCGUGGCCGGCGCCGCCUGGAGGCCCCCACCCGGGCGCCGCGGCCCCUCUGACCCCUCGGUGGCCUCAGCGCCCCUCCUCCCUGAAGUCUGUUGCGAACCCUCCCUCUUUCCUCCUCCGAGGAGCUGCUCCUUCCAGCAAGUCCCUGCGCGCCUCAGUCAACCAGCUCGCUAUGACUGCUGCAGCCCGCGAAGCAGCCUCUCCACGUCCCUCCCUCUUUCCCUCUAUUUCUCGCUUCCUCACUUUUUUCAGAGCCUUCCCACAGACACCCAGAGGACAAAUCAUUGCAGCCCAGAGUAGCUGCAGGCGCUGUUGCUCCGUAAAGUUCUGCCUUAGUUUUCGGGUCUAAGAUUUCUUUUUUAAGCACAUCUUAAACCUCCCCCACCUUAUCCCCACCCACCCUUUCACACCCACACACUCACACA
rnacentral:lncRNA from 1 species